rnacentral:rRNA from 1 species
UCAGGAUGAACGCUGGCGGCGUGCUUAACACAUGCAAGUCGAACGGUGAAGCAGAGCUUGCUCUGUGGAUCAGUGGCGAACGGGUGAGUAACACGUGAGCAACCUGCCCCUGACUCUGGGAUAAGCGCUGGAAACGGCGUCUAAUACUGGAUACGAGCAACGGCCGCAUGGCCAGUUGUUGGAAAGAUUUUUUGGUUGGGGAUGGGCUCGCGGCCUAUCAGCUUGUUGGUGAGGUAAUGGCUCACCAAGGCGUCGACGGGUAGCCGGCCUGAGAGGGUGACCGGCCACACUGGGACUGAGACACGGCCCAGACUCCUACGGGAGGCAGCAGUGGGGAAUAUUGCACAAUGGGCGGAAGCCUGAUGCAGCAACGCCGCGUGAGGGAUGACGGCCUUCGGGUUGUAAACCUCUUUUAGCAGGGAAGAAGCGAAAGUGACGGUACCUGCAGAAAAAGCGCCGGCUAACUACGUGCCAGCAGCCGCGGUAAUACGUAGGGCGCAAGCGUUAUCCGGAAUUAUUGGGCGUAAAGAGCUCGUAGGCGGUUUGUCGCGUCUGCUGUGAAAUCCCGAGGCUCAACCUCGGGCCUGCAGUGGGUACGGGCAGACUAGAGUGCGGUAGGGGAGAUUGGAAUUCCUGGUGUAGCGGUGGAAUGCGCAGAUAUCAGGAGGAACACCGAUGGCGAAGGCAGAUCUCUGGGCCGUAACUGACGCUGAGGAGCGAAAGGGUGGGGAGCAAACAGGCUUAGAUACCCUGGUAGUCCACCCCGUAAACGUUGGGAACUAGUUGUGG